rnacentral:rRNA from 1 species
GAUGAACGCUGGCGGCGUGCCUAAUACAUGCAAGUCGAGCGAAGGGGGGGCGGGUGAGUAACAGGUGGAUAACCGCCGAUAAGGCUGGGAUAACGUCGGGAAACCGGAUCUAAACCCGAUACUUAGAGGUAGGUGCUCGCUGGAUUAGCUAGUUGGUACGGUAACGGCUUACCAAGGCAACGAUGCAUAGCCGACCUGAGAGGGUGAUCGGCCACACUGGAACUGAGACACGGUCCAGACUCCUACGGGAGGCAGCAGUAGGGAAUCUUCGGCAAUGGGCGAAAGCCUGACGGAGCAACGCCGCGUGAGUGAAGAAGGUCUUCGGAUCGUAAAACUCUGUUAUUAGGGAAGCGGUACCUAAUCAGAAAGCCACGGCUAACUACGUGCCAGCAGCCGCGGUAAUAC